UGGGGAAUAUUGCACAAUGGAGGGAACUCUGAUGCAGCAACGCCGCGUGCGGGAUGACGGCCUUCGGGUUGUAAACCGCUUUCAGCCAUGACGAAGCUUUUGUGACGGUAGUGGUAGAAGAAGCACCGGCUAACUACGUGCCAGCAGCCGCGGUGAUACGUAGGGUGCGAGCGUUGUCCGGAAUUAUUGGGCGUAAAGAGCUUGUAGGCGGUUUGUCGCGUCGAUAGUGUAAACACGCAGCUUAACUGUGUGCCUGCUGUCGAUACGGGCUGACUAGAGGAGAGUAGGGGAGAAGGGAAUUCCCGGUGGAGCGGUGGAAUGCGCAGAUAUCGGGAGGAACACCAGUGGCGAAGGCGGUUCUCUGGACCUUUCCUGACGCUGAGAAGCGAAAGCGUGGGUAGCAAACAGG
rnacentral:rRNA from 1 species